CUUCCCUCGGGCGGGGGAUAACAUUCCGAAAGGAGUGCUAAUACCGCAUAAGACCACGUUCUCGAAAGGGAACGAGGUAAAAGCCGGCCUCUAUAUAUAAGCUGGCACCUGAGGAUGAGUCCGCGGCCCAUCAGCUAGUUGGUAGGGUAAUGGCCUACCAAGGCUAAGACGGGUAGCUGGUCUGAGAGGAUGAUCAGCCACACUGGAACUGAGACACGGUCCAG
rnacentral:rRNA from 1 species